ACACACACACACACACACACACGUUACAGUAUUUGUAGGCCUUUACUGAAGACUUUGCCUGUAUAAAGCUCUUGCUCACACAGACUAAGACUAAGGUCGGAUAAAGAGAGCGUUUACAUGAUGUACACCUUUAAUAGUUGUACAGUAAGAGUUUAGAUUUAUCUGAAUGUAUUAUUUUUUGUUCACUAACAGUAAAUUAAUUAAAUACACUGUGUAUUUUUCACUUGUACAAGGAAACACAUGACUGAAUAUAUUGUGAAAAACAUUGUGCUAUUUAUAACUAAAAUUAAAAGGUUUAAAUGGUCUU